rnacentral:rRNA from 1 species
UACAGAGGAUGCGAGCGUUGAUCGGAAUUACUGGGCGUAAAGCGUGCGUAGACGGUUAUUUAAGUCGGGUGUGAAAGCCCCGGGCUCAACCUGGGAAUUGCAUUCGAGACUGAAUAGCUAGGGUACGGUAGAGGGAAGUGGAAUUUCCGGUGUAGCGGUGAAAUGCGUAGAUAUCGGAAGGAACAUCAGUGGCGAAGGCGGCUUUCUGGGCCGUUCCUGACACUGAUGCACGAAAGCGUGGGGAGCAAACCGG